AUUAUCUCACUGAGUCCUCCCAACAGCCCAGAGAAAUAGGCCUCAUCUGGCCCCAUUUUAUAGCCGAGGACACUGAGGUCCAGAUGUCAAGUGUUUCACUCAGGGUCACGCAGCUCAUGCGGGAGAGAGUAGGGUUUUAAGUCUCAGUCUCCCCAGUCCAAAACCUACGCGCUCUCCACUGUACCUCCCGAGCCUUAGGGCGCUGAUAAGUGAAAGGGGAACCAGAUAAUGGGAAAUACUUCGGUGUUUUCCAGGCCUUAAUUACAUUCCAGUUCACAAUGCAGGAAGGACAGUGAUUUUCAAACUUCUCUUUUUUUAAUCUGCAAAAAAUCUGCAACUAACGGAGAGAGGAGAAAUUUCCCCCUAAAUGGUUUCAGUUUUGGCAGAUCACACAGCAGUCCUUUCACCUCCGAAGGAUGACCAAGUUGGUGUCCAGACAUGAGAAGCAGCAAGAUUUGGUUCUUUACUCUGCUUCUGAAUAGAGUCGGGUCUUCAAGUUCCAGAAAAGGACAAUCUUCAUCGAAGGUCGUCCUGUCUGGAAGCAGAGGGUGCUCAGAAUCAUGGGGAUGCUGUUAACUAAGGUGAAUUGACUCCAAAGCUACACCUUCAUUAAUGAGAAGCAAUCUGAUGGAGGGCGAUUUUGAGUCUUUCCCAUCAGUACUGCUCAUGUUUUGUGGCAGUGCAUGGGACGCUCACUGUGCCUCCACUUGCUAAGAAGCCAUGCACAGAUGCAGGGGCAGACGAGCAGCAUCAGAGUAGACGAUGCAGCCCGGCAAACCGUGCCUGCCUGCCAUCCACUCACCCCUUGCGCCCUGUCUCAAGAGCUAUAUGCUAACAGGAGAGACGCCACUGACACUUGUUGAAUGUAACAAGCGGCUGGGAGUGAUUGGCCAAACACUCCGCAGACAGACGGGUUCUACCCGCUCCAUCACAGGGAGGACACCGAGGUGAGAAUUUCUGUUAGAAACGCUGAUGAGAUUAUAUAAAUUAGUGGAGGUGGGGUUUUUAGAGGAGAAAGGGAGGGAAGAGUUUUGUGGAGGACUUCAGCCCUCACAGAGCCACCGAGCUCAUAUUGCACACGAGUAUAAAGGAAUGCUCCCUCGUUCCCACAGGGCUCACAUUACGUCAUGAGGCCAAAAGACUGAAAUUCUUAUUUUCCACUUAUUUUUGUUUUCAGUCGGCCCAGCAUAAACAAGUAAAGCUCCCUUAGAAAAGGGAUGUUUGUCAAGUAUGAGCUUAUGAGACUAACCUGCAAUGUACAUAAGCACACUUGUGUUUGCUGUUUUUAAAAAUCUGCAUUUCUUUUUUGCUGGUUUUAUCAAAUUGAGCAAGUUAUCAAUGAAGUACAUUGUGCAUAAAUGGAAAAAUGGCGACCCUGGGUAGGACACAGGCCAUGUGACCAUCCAGCAUAUCAUUUUGGGGGCUGAAAUCUAUGAAUAAUGUAAAUAUUGUUUUCAUCACAAGACAGAAUUCAGUAUUUCUGAUUUUCUAAACUUCAGCUUUUUUUUUCUUUUAAAGCCUCAAUGGAAUUAAUAUGCCAGUGGCUCUAUUUUAAAAAUGUAUGAAUUACAUUAUCAAACUAUAUGAAAUAUUUAAGAAAUAAUGCUUGUGGAAUAAUCCAUAUUGAUUUCAAUCAUCACCUUUGCACUACAGCAUAAAAAGGUUCUGUUCAGUUCUGAGCUCAGGGACAGCCGUGGCAAUGUUGUUAAGUUUCAGUCCCUUCUUUUAUUUUUGUCUUUUUGAGAUGGCCAUUGUCCCUGCUGAUUUUCCAAAUGUAGCAAAGCUGGGCCUGCUAGUUCCGCUCUAAAGAAUACAAAGAUAGCGAUCUGAUUCAGACGUGGAGGAACAUCAGUAAGAAUGACAACAGGAGCAGGUAACAGUGAGUCAACAUUUGUUUCCAGUCCCGAACCCUCUUCAGCGUUUGAAAUAGGUCAGCCAGCAAUACAAAGCCAAACCAAUUUAAGAAUGUAAUUCACAAUAUUUUGGCUUCUAUUUCUCACCAGCUUCUGAGUAACAUAUUGUAUAAGAAAGAGGUCUUUGUUGUGUUUAUAAUACAUGUAUAACCUGGUGGGAAGCCGAAUAAAAAAUGUAUAUUAUUUGCAUAACUUGAACUAAAGAACCUAGUGCAUUAUUUGGUCUUGAAUGUCUUAAAUUUAAGUGAGCUGGCUUAAGAGUAAUAUUACUCUAUUACGGUUCUGUAAUUCAUAUAAUGAAAUCAUACAGCUAAAAAAUUUAAGGUUUUACCAAUGAUAAGUGGAACCUGAUUUCUGAGUUCCUUUUUAAUGAAAACAGUAAUUUAUAAACUGGCACAUGUGCGCCCCUUUUUGUUUGCUGACAAUAAAAGGCUGUUGCAUUUGUGUUCUUUCAUCUGCUCUCCCCUCCGUGCAUGUGGGAGAAGCCCGUUUAGCCUAGUGGUGCAGGCACCAAGGACGAAAACCCCCUAGAAAAUCCAGGGAUCUGCUUCCCCAACAGACCCACUGGAAUGUCUGGAUCCCCGUGCAGCUUUCCGCGCCCGGAUGACCCCCACCCUGGCCUGGGUUUCCUUCCAGUCCACCGUGGGAGCCGUGGGAGCAAGUCAUGCUGGACUGCAGCUCCUGCGUUGCCACACUGGCUUCCAUGCAUGGAAAAUCGUGAGCUUCGCCUCACGUGGGUGGUGACAGUCAUCUUUAAAUCUUAUGGGUGAGGGAUGUUUUCCUGUAGUAGGAACAUAAGCCCAUAGCAAUGUUCCCUCUCCCAUCUAGGAAACGAGCAUUUGCUUUAAAAAUAGCUGGAGUUACAUAAUGUUUGUACAAAGCGAACAGAAUCUUAAAUGCUUCUAAUGGUUCUAUCAUGGAAGUGCACAUUUUGCCUGGCUGAAUGUCCUUACCGCUGAAGAGAGAUUAUUCUUAUCUGCCUAUAUUUGGAAAUAAAGGACAUAGUGUAUAACCAGGUGUCGGAAUGCUCCCUUCUUGCUACACCAAAUACAUAUGAUUAUUUUAUAUUAACUAUUUUACUUCACAAUUACUAAAAUAUUUCUUGAAAGGACCUAGGAAUGGCUGAAUUAGCAAACUAAUAGAGUAAAAAAUAAAGGAAGUGAUCAAAUGUACAGAAAGAAAAAGAAAUUGUUUAAGAUAGUACACAUUUGGACUAUAUACUCAUAUCUAUUAUCAAACAAAUUCAAAUGUCGAAUACAAACUACAUUGUCUUUUAUUAAUUUAAUUAAUUAAACAAAAUUUUUAACUGGUUAAUGGAGUGGUUCUCCUUCCUGAAAAUACAACACUGAAUAUUGUAAUAAUAGUUAACUCUAUAAUCUAAAUAACUCUACUACAAAAGUAACAACUGUCUUUAAUCUUAAUUUUUAAAAGCAAGGGCUGAAAUGUAUCAGCUCAAUUGGAAUCAUCCUUUCAAAAGAUUAAAACCAUCACCAUAGUUCUACAAAUGGCAUCCGGAAAUAAAGAUCCUUCUGGUUGACUUUC